rnacentral:rRNA from 1 species
UACGAAGGUGGCAAGCGUUGUUCGGAUUCACUGGGCGUAAAGGGCGCGUAGGCGGGAUGGCAAGUCAGUCGUGAAAUCUCUCGGCUCAACCGAGAAACGUCGGCUGAUACUGCCGUUCUUGAGGGAUGCAGAGGAGACUGGAAUUCCCGGUGUAGCGGUGAAAUGUGUAGAGAUCGGGAGGAACACCGGUGGCGAAGGCGGGUCUCUGGGCAUCUCCUGACGCUGAGGCGCGAAAGCGUGGGGAGCAAACGGG